AUACGUAGGGGGCGAGCGUUGUCCGGAAUGAUUGGGCGUAAAGGGCGCGUAGGCGGCGCGGUAAGUCUGGAGUGAAAGUCCUGCUUUCAAGGUGGGAAUUGCUUUGGAUACUGCCGCGCUUGAGUGCAGGAGAGGUUAUCGGAAUUCCCGGUGUAGCGGUGAAAUGCGUAGAGAUCGGGAGGAACACCAGUGGCGAAGGCGGGUAACUGGACUGCAACUGAUGCUGAGGCGCGAAAGUGUGGGGAGCAAACAGGAUUAGAUACCCUGGUAGUCCACACUGUAGACGAUGAAUGCUAGGUGUAAGAGGUAUCGACCCCUUUUGUGCCGGAGUCAACACAAUAAGCAUUCCGCCUGGGGAGUACGGCCGCAAGGUUGAAACUCAAAUGAAUUGACGGGG
rnacentral:rRNA from 1 species